AAUUUGUUCCUGAGCCUUGUACACACCGCCCGUCAAGCCACCCGAAUUGGUCGGUACCCGAAGUAAUAGUUCCAACCGACAAGGAGGGACGUUACCUAAGGUAAUGCCGGGUAAGGGGGAACUA
rnacentral:rRNA from 1 species